GAUGAACGCUGGCGGCGUGCCUAAUACAUGCAAGUCGAGCGAACGGACGAGAAGCUUGCUUCUCUGGUGUUAGCGGCGGACGGGUGAGUAACACGUGGAUAACCUACCUAUAAGACUGGGAUAACUUCGGGAAACCGGAGCUAAUACCGGAUAAUAUUUUGAACCGCAUGGUUCAAGAGUGAAAGACGGUCUUGCUGUCACUUAUAGAUGGAUCCGCGCUGCAUUAGCUAGUUGGUAAGGUAACGGCUUACCAAGGCAACGAUGCAUAGCCGACCUGAGAGGGUGAUCGGCCACACUGGAACUGAGACACGGUCCAGACUCCGACGGGAGGAAGCAGUACGGAAUCUUCCGGGAUGGGCGAAAGCCUGACGUAGCAACGCCGCGUGAGUGAUGAAGGUCUUCGGAUCGUAAAACUCUGUUAUUAGGGAAGUACAUAUGUGCUAGUAACUGUGAACAUAUUGACGGUACCUAAUCAGAAAGCCACGGCUAACUACGUG
rnacentral:rRNA from 1 species